CCUACGGGAGGCAGCAGUGAGGAAUAUUGGUCAAUGGACGAGAGUCUGAACCAGCCAAGUAGCGUGAAGGAUGACUGCCCUAUGGGUUGUAAACUUCUUUUAUAUGGGAAUAAAACGUUCCACGUGUGGGAUUUUGUAUGUACCAUAUGAAUAAGGAUCGGCUAACUCCGUGCCAGCAGCCGCGGUAAUACGGAGGAUCCGAGCGUUAUCCGGAUUUAUUGGGUUUACAGGGAGCGUAGGUGGAUUGUUAAGUCAGUUGUGAAAGUUUGCGGCUCAACCGUAAAAUUGCAGUUGAAACUGGCAGUCUUGAGUACAGUAGAGGUAGGCGGAAUUCGUGGUGUAGCGGUGAAAUGCUUAGAUAUCACGAAGAACUCCGAUUGCGAAGGCAGUUCACUGGACUGCAACUGACACUGAGGCUCGAAAGUGUGGGUAUCAAACAGGAUUAGAUACCCCAGUAGUC
rnacentral:rRNA from 1 species